UACGUAGGGGGCUAGCGUUGUCCGGAAUCAUUGGGCGUAAAGCGCGUGUAGGCGGCCCGGUAAGUCCGCUGUGAAAGUCGGGGGCUCAACCCUUGGAUGCCGGUGGAUACUGUCGGGCUCGAGUACGGAAGAGGCGAGUGGAAUUCCUGGUGUAGCGGUGGAAUGCGCAGAUAUCAGGAGGAACACCGGUGGCGAAGGCGGGUCUCUGGGCAGUAACUGACGCUGAGGAGCGAAAGCGUGGGGAGCGAACAGG
rnacentral:rRNA from 1 species